rnacentral:rRNA from 1 species
AUUGAACGCUGGCGGCAGGCUUAGCACAUGCAAGUCGAGCGGGGAAGGGUAGCUUGCUACCUAACCUAGCGGCGGACGGGUGAGUAAUGCUUAGGAAUCUGCCUAUUAGUGGGGGACAACAUUCCGAAAGGAACGCUAAUACCGCAUACGCCCUACGGGGGAAAGCAGGGGAUCUUCGGACCUUGCGCUAAUAGAUGAGCCUAAGUCAGAUUAGCUAGUUGGUGGGGUAAAGGCCUACCAAGGCGACGAUCUGUAGCGGGUCUGAGAGGAUGAUCCGCCACACUGGGACUGGGACACGGCCCAGACUCCUACGGGAGGCAGCAGUGGGGAAUAUUGGACAAUGGGCGCAAGCCUGAUCCAGCCAUGCCGCGUGUGUGAAGAAGGCCUUUUGGUUGUAAAGCACUUUAAGCGAGGAGGAGGCUACUUGGAUUAAUACUCUAGGAUAGUGGACGUUACUCGCAGAAUAAGCACCGGCUAACUCUGUGCCAGCCGCCGCCGUAAGAC